rnacentral:rRNA from 1 species
UACAGAGGUCUCAAGCGUUGUUCGGAUUCAUUGGGCGUAAAGGGUGCGUAGGCGGCGCGGUAAGUCGGGUGUGAAAUCUUGGAGCUUAACUCCGAAACUGCAUUCGAUACUGCCGUGCUUGAGGACUGGAGAGGAGACUGGAAUUUACGGUGUAGCAGGUGAAAUGCGUAGAUAUCGUAAGGAAGACCAGUGGCGAAGGCGGGUCUCUGGACAGUUCCUGACACUGAGACACGAAGGCCAGGGGAGCAAACGGG